rnacentral:rRNA from 1 species
UACGUAGGGAGCAAGCGUUGUCCGGAUUUACUGGGUGUAAAGGGUGCGUAGGCGGCAAAGCAAGUCAGAUGUGAAAUCUAUGGGCUCAACCCAUAAACUGCAUUUGAAACUGCAUUGCUUGAGUGUUGGAGAGGCAGGCGGAAUUCCGUGUGUAGCGGUGAAAUGCGUAGAUAUACGGAGGAACACCAGCGGCGAAGGCGGCCCACUGGACUGCGACUGACGUUGAGGCUCGAAGGCGUGGGGAGCAA